UUAAAAAAAGUCUAAGUUUGCUCUGAGCGCUUGUGUUGUUUACCAAGAAAAUGCAGCCCUGUUGGUUUUUAUUUCUGUAUCGCAUCGCGACUAUUAAUUACAAG